AUGAAGACAAAAGAAGUUACAGAGGGAGAUUCUGCCACUCAGCACAUUGGUAUUGCCAAACCACAGCGAUAUGAUCAAAUACUCUGGAGGUUUGGACCUCAAGGCUCUCUCAUCACUCAGAUUCCUUUAAGGAACAAAGAGACCUUACCUGAAGAUGACGAGAGAUUAACCAUAGAUCUUCUCUAUGUGGACUCACUUCGAUUCUCAGAGGGAGAAGAUGUCACUCUAGACACCGGUGUUAGUGAACUACAGAGGGACGAUCAGAUUCUCUGGAGCUUUAAAUCUGAAGACACUAUUAUAGCUAAAAGAGAUGGAGACACCAAUCAGGUUUUAAAUGAUGCUGAUGGUGGGAGAUUCAGAGACAGACUGCAGAUGGAUGAUCAGACUGGAUCUCUCACCAUCACAAACACCAAAACCACAGACUCUGGAGUCUAUCACCUUCAAAUCAGCAGCAGAAAUAAAGUCUCAUAUCAGAAGUUUUCUGUGUGCUGUGAGUAUAGCUUGAUAAUUUAACAAUGAAAUGAUCAUAUUUUUGCUAAUAUCCAGUUUUCAGUGAACUGAGAUGUUCACCUGAAUACUCAUAUUUUCUGUUGCAUGUGCUGCCGUGACAUGAAGUGGACACAGUAAAAGUGAGAGCGGGAGGCUCCAUCACUCUGAACACUGAUGUUACUGAACCAGAGGAUGAUAAUGACACCGGCCUUGCUGAAAUCAGCCAAGUCAGCAGUAAGACCUCAGUGAAUCAUGGUAAUGAUGUGAGAUUCAGAGACAGACUGCAGCUAGGGCAUGCAGAUUUGCAUGUUUUGUUUUUCACUAUAGGAGAACACAAUACAAUGCAUUUUUCAGAAUGGAGAUUCUUAAAAGCAAAGAUUACUGAGAUGAGAUGGGAAAGUCAGAUGACUGGCAAACUAAUUUUGCUGCUAUAAUUGUUGAAAAAUCAACCUCUUAAAUAAGGAGACUAAUUCAUCUAGAUGUAUUUCAUGUUACUAUAUGGCCCAGCCUGUUGAACGUGCAGUGGGACCAAGAUGUUCAUCUCCACACAUUUCUCUCUUUCUCUUCUAUAACGCUGCUGUGACAGAUGAAGAAAACAAAGUGUCAGUGAUGGAGGGAGAUCGUGCCAAACUAAACACUGAUGUUAGUGAACUACAGAGAGACGCUCUGAUACUCUGGAUGUUCGGCUCCAGAGACGGUCUUAUAGCUAAAGCUGAUAUGGAGAACAAUAGGAUAUCUAUAUAUGAUGGUGCUGAUGGCAGAUACAGGGACAGACUGGAGCUGGACCGUCAGACUGGAUCUCUGAGCAUCACAAACACCACAUGCACAGAGACCAAAUCCAAGCUAUUCAGAGUUACUGUUUCUGGUGAUGAGCUCAGAUUUGUGAUUAUUAUAAUAUGAUCUUAUUUAGAUCAGAUGCUUUAAAAUGCACACAACUUUCCACUAAAUUAAAACAAACUUCAGCGGUUCACGUUCUAUAUCAGUUUCCCAGUGUUAAAAAUAAAACAUCUGAACAGCCUAUAUAUGUAUAAAAA
ensembl:lncRNA